rnacentral:rRNA from 1 species
CAUAUGCAUGUUUUGCGCCGGCCGGCGAAGGCGUUUCGGUGUAGCAUCGGGUGCGUGACGCGCCAUUGGCCGAAUCGAUGCGCCCGCAUCGAUUCGGCGGCGAGCCGUGCGUCGGUUGAGCCGUGCGCCGCGGCGUUCAAGGCGCGGCGCACGCUUGAACGAGACAGGCGUGCGGCAGGCGGGCGUCGCGCGAAUCCUGGGUCUUGCUGGAGAGAGUCGAGAUGAAUCUGAAUGAUGCCGUCGUACUGGUGACCGGCGCGAAUCGCGGCCUGGGGCUCGCGUUCGUCGAGGGGCUGAAGGCCGCGGGCGCGAAGAAAAUCUAUGCGGCCGCGCGCGAUCCGGCGCGCGUGACGACGCCCGGCGUGCAGCCGGUGCGGCUCGACGUCACGCGCGCGCAAGAUAUCGCCGCCGCCGCGCGCGAGUUGCGCGACGUCAAUCUGCUCGUCAACAACGCGGGCAUUUUCCGGAUGGGCUCGCUGCUCGCGGAGGCGGACGGCGGCGGCCUGCAGGCGCAGCUCGACACGAAUUUCUUCGGCCCGCUCGCGAUGGCGCGUGCGUUCGCGCCGGUGCUGCGCGAGAACGGCGGCGGCGCGAUCAUCAACGUGCUGUCGGUGCUGUCGUGGCUCGGCUUGCCGAAUACGGGCGCGUACGGCAUUUCGAAGGCGGCCGCGUGGGCCGCGACGAACGCGAUCCGCAACGAGCUGCGCGAGCAGCGCACGCGCGUGCUCGCGCUGCAUUCGGCGUAUAUCGAUACCGACAUGGUCGCGCACGCGCAGGGCGUGCCGAAGAAUCGCCCGGAGGACGUCGUCCGGCAGACGCUCGACGCGCUCGCGGCCGGCCGCGACGAAGUGCUCGUCGAUGCGCUGACGCGCGACGUGAAGGCGGGGUUGUCGGCCGAGCCGGCGGUCUACACGCAGCCGCCGACGGGCGCGUGACGGUGAUACGGCGGCACGCGGCACGCGUGCGGCACCGGCGUUCGGGACGAACGGGCGAACGGAUGAAUGGAUGAACGGUGUCGCGCAGGGCGGCAGGGCGGCUCGCCGCCGUCGUGCGUGCGGAUCGCGGCGCGCGCCGGCGUCGGCCCCGCUCAGCCCGCCUUCGCCCUGGGUUUGCGCGGCGCCUUCUCGAACAGGCGAUCGUACAGCCAGCGCGGCAUCACGUGCAGCAGCUUCGCGACGAUGCCCAUCUGCCAUGGAAUCACGCGAAACGCGGUUUUCUGCGAGAUCGCGAGCGCCGCGCGCUUCGCGAAGCGGUCCGCAUCCAUCAGGAACGGCAUCGGAUACGGGUUGUGCUCGGUCAUCGGCGUGCGGAUGUAGCCGGGCGCGAUCGUCACGACCGCGACUUGCGCGGGCCGCAGCUCGACCCUCAGCGCCUCGAGAUACUUGAUCGCCGCCGCCUUCGACGCGCUGUACGCGCCCGAGCCCGGCAGCCCGCGCACGCCGGCCACGCUCGCGAUGCCGACGAGCGUG